rnacentral:rRNA from 1 species
ACGAACGCUGGCGGCGUGCCUAAUCCAUGCAAGUCGCACGCUUCUUUCCUCCCGAGUGCUUGCACUCAAUUGGAAAGAGGAGUGGCGGACGGGUGAGUAACACGUGGGUAACCUACCCAUCAGAGGGGGAUAACACUUGGAAACAGGUGCUAAUACCGCAUAACAGUUUAUGCCGCAUGGCAUAAGAGUGAAAGGCGCUUUCGGGUGUCGCUGAUGGAUGGACCCGCGGUGCAUUAGCUAGUUGGUGAGGUAACGGCUCACCAAGGCCACGAUGCAUAGCCGACCUGAGAGGGUGAUCGGCCACACUGGGACUGAGACACGGCCCAGACGCCUACGGGAGGCAGCAGUAGGGAAUCUUCGGCAAUGGACGAAAGUCUGACCGAGCAACGCCGCGUGAGUGAAGAAGGUUUUCGGAUCGUAAAACUCUGUUGUUAGAGAAGAACAAGGACGUUAGUAACUGAACGUCCCCUGACGGUAUCUAACCAGAAAGCCACGGCUAACUACGU